rnacentral:lncRNA from 1 species
UGCCUCUGGAGUUUGCUCUGCAACUGGAAAGAUCUCAGUUUCAGUUCAUUCUGGUGGUGUCAACAUGCCAGAAGUCACAUAUCCAUGCACAUAGAGACAGCUGUGUGCUCUUGCUUUUCCUCAAUACAGGCUCAAGGAUUUGAGUGAUCUGAGCAGGUUUGGGAAGAAUUAUUCAGUGACAGACACAAAAGAAACAAGACAAAAAAGACAUGAGAGAGAUUUGUUUUGGAAGAGUCUAUUGUUCAUUCCUGGCUUUUGCUGACAUUCAGAGGGAUUAAGAUGGAAUGAAGGAAAAAUGACUGACCCAGAAGUCUGCUCACCUCAGAAGCAGCAGCAGGUUUCCUUCAAAGGAAAGCAAAAGCUUAAUCUGUAAAAGAGAUCUUUUCAAUGGACUGGCUUCGGCAGUUGGCCACGCAGGUCCCUUCCGAACCUCCAAGGUGCCACAGCCGCUCUGCAGUUGCUCAGGUGGAGACGAUCCGGCCACGUGGUUGGGGCCCUGAGGGGAGCACUUCCGGUCCGCGCUUGGGCAGCUUCCGGUGUGUGUCCGCCCGACUUCUCCGUGCUUCCCUGCGCGAGGCCGGUCCGAUUCCCCCUUCCCCUGUGCCCGCAGGGAAUGCAAGCCGCGGUCGUGACCCACCGGAACAAGGGCGCGGCCCGCCUGCGCUCGGCCCCGGCGCUCUCCCGCGCCCGGCCGGCCGCCAUGCGCCUACAGUAGCCCCGCGAGAGCCUUCCCUAGCGCGGCUCCGCCGGGUGUGCCGCGGGCCUGCGCGGUUCCCAGGCGUCAGGCUGUGACAAGCACAGCCAGGCAAGCGCACGGGGUCAGCAGCCGCUCAGUCCAUCUUGAAACACCGAGAGGCUGACGUGUGUGGGAGUCCGCGGCUCACCUGAAAGCUGCCCUGGUGCCUUGAAACAGCUGCUGCUUAGCCCCAUGCUAAGGGACGCCUGGUGGCUCAGCGGUUGAGCGCCUGCCUUUGGCUCAGGGUGUGAUCCUGGAGUCCUGGGUUCAAGUCCUACAUCAGGCUCCUUGUAUGGACCCUGCUUGUGUUUCUGCCUCUCUCUCUCUCUGUCUCUCAUGGAUAAACAAAAAUCUUAAAAAGAACCUCCAAGUGACCUUCCGUUCAUCCGAACCAUGUUUGACUAUGGGGUCUUAGAGGAUGUGAGGGUGUAUAGCAGGAGAGAUUUGAUUUCUAAGUUCACUCUCCUAGCAUGGAGCUAAAGAGCAAGUUCCUUUUCACGGUCUUGUUACUUUUCUUACUACUUUUUUUUUUUUUAAGAUUUUGUUUAUUUAAUCAUGAGACACACAGAGACAGAGAGGCAGAGACACAGGCAAAGGGGGAAGGAAGCAGGCCCCAUUCGGGGAGCCCCAUGUGGAACUCCAUCUCAGGACCCUGGGAUCACGCCCUCAGCCCAAGGCAGACACUCAACCACUGAGCCACCCAGGUGCCCCCUCACCACUUCUAAUAAUUCAUGCUGUUUGGUUUUAAUGUCUCUGAGUCUCAGUUUCUUUAUGUGGGAAAUCAAGGAAAUUUGACUUAGGUGAUUCAUGGUACCCCUUCUAACUCCAAAAAUCUUGUCACCUUGUUAAUAAAUCAAUUCUUCCUUACAAACAUCUUUUGAAUCACCUCCUUGAAAGCCA